UACAGAGGUCCCGAGCGUUUGUUCGGAUUCACUGGGCGUAAAGGGUGCGUAGGUGGUGGGGUAAGUCGGAUGUGAAAGCUCGGAGCUCAACUCCGAAAUGGCAUUGGAAACUACCCUGCUGGAGGUUUGGAGGGGGGACUGGAAUACUUGGUGUAGCAGUGAAAUGCGUAGAUAUCAAGUGGAACACCAGUGGCGAAGGCGAGUCCCUGGACAAAACCUGACACUGAGGCACGAAAGCUAGGGGAGCAAACAGG
rnacentral:rRNA from 1 species